UACACGAGAUCCACAGCUUAUGCGCAUAACCCAGGGUGCAGGGCUAGCUAAACAAAUGGAGAAAGGUAAACAAAAAAUGAGAAGCCAUGUCUGGAGAAGAAGAAGAAACCUCCACAUUUGAGCUUCAAUUUCGCUUUUCUUUGCUUCUGCUUUAGAACGGACCUCUCUCUCCACCACCAAAUGAAGAGAGAGAAGGACAAUCAGAGUGAAGAGCAUAUGAAGGGACGUGUGUGCAGAACCAUUUUAGAUUUUUUUUUCAUAUUUUAUUUUAUU
rnacentral:misc_RNA from 1 species